rnacentral:tRNA from 1 species
GGCAGUGUGGCAUAGUGGUUUGAGCGUUGGACUAUGAUUCUGGAGACCAGGGUUCGAUUCCUUGCUCAGCCA